GGGCUCGCUUCGGCAGCACGUAUACUAAAAUUGGAAUGAUACAGAGAAAAUUAGCAUGGCCCUUGCGUAAGGAUGACCUGCAAAUUUGUGAAGCGUUCCAUACUUUU